rnacentral:rRNA from 1 species
CCCGCUGAACUUAAGCAUAUCAAUAAGCGGAGGAAAAGAAACUAACAAGGAUUCCCCUAGUAACUGCGAGUGAAGCGGGAAAAGCUCAAAUUUAAAAUCUGGCAGUCUCUGGCUGUCCGAGUUGUAAUCUAGAGAAGCAUUAUCCGCGCUGGACCGUGUACAAGUCUCCUGGAAUGGAGCGUCAUAGAGGGUGAGAAUCCCGUCUUUGACACGGACUGCCAGGGCUUUGUGAUGUGCUCUCAAAGAGUCGAGUUGUUUGGGAAUGCAGCUCAAAAUGGGUGGUAAAUUCCAUCUAAAGCUAAAUAUUGGCGAGAGACCGAUAGCGAACAAGUACCGUGAGGGAAAGAUGAAAAGAACUUUGGAAAGAGAGUUAAACAGUAUGUGAAAUUGCUGAAAGGGAAACGCUUGAUGUCAGUCACGUUGGCUAGGGAUCAACCUUGCUUCUCGCUGGGUGUAUUUCCUAGUGGACGGGUCAGCAUCAGUUUCGGUCGCUGUACAAGGGCAAAGGGAACGUGGCACUCCUUGGAGUGUGUUAUAGCCUUUCGUCGUAUGCAGUGGUUGGGACUGAGGAACUCGGCACGAAAUCUAUUUUGUGCUUAGGAUGCUGGCAUAAUGGCCUUAAGCGACCCGUCUUGAAACACGG